CAAAAUCCCUUUUCUGCUAAAAAACUUUUCAGGCCGGAUUCUUGCUUUACUCUUCCUCCAACGCUCCAUCAAUUCCAUCACUGACUCAGCCAUUAAAUGUAUCAGAUUUCCCCAAAUCUUAUUUCUGUUUGCUACUCCUUCCAACAGUCACCUUUGUUCUCACAAUCUUAAAAUCUUGGGUUCAUCCUUUCAGCAACUAGACGAACGGUAUUCGGAAUCGCCCCAACCAGGUAAUGUUCUUCUCCCUUCUUUAAAGUUUCAAUGGCAAUCGAAUGGGCAACAAUAUUUGCAUUUCUCGGAAUGUAACAAAAACAGAUGCUAUUAAAAGUGAUUUUAAGCUCUUGAAUAUCUCUGAUGAGUGCUCCGAUGACCGAUUUGUCCUGUUCUGAACUUUGACACUUUUUGAUAAUUGUUUUCGAAUCUCCCUUUAUUUGUAAAUCUGUAAGCCCCAUAGAUCUCACUAACUCUAAAGCUUGUAACCCUGCAUGUGCCUCUGCCGCGAAUGGAGUUGCAAUAUUGGUGUGAAUGACUGACUUUGAGACCAAAAUCUCCCCUCCCUCACCUCUGACAAGUAAACCCGAAGUAGAUCUUGCAUUUUGCUGGUCAAAGGCCGC
rnacentral:lncRNA from 1 species